rnacentral:rRNA from 1 species
AGCGGCGCACGGGUGAGUAACGCGUGGGUAAUCUCCCUUCGUGACUGGGAUAACAGUGGGAAACUGCUGCUAAUACCGGAUAAUCUUCAUGUUUAACUUCAUGGGGAAAAGGUGGCCUCUGCUUGCAAGCUACCACACAAAGAUGAGCCCGCGUCUCAUUAGCUAGUUGGUAGGGUAAUGGCCUACCAAGGCUACGAUGAGUAGCUGGUCUGAGAGGAUGACCAGCCACACUGGGACUGGAACACGGCCCAGACUCCUACGGGAGGCAGCAGUGGGGAAUAUUGCGCAAUGGGCGAAAGCCUGACGCAGCGACGCCUCGUGAGGGAUGAAGGUCUUCGGAUCGUAAACCUCUGUCAAGAGGGAAGAAACCCUUGGAUUCGAAUAGGGUCCUUGGCUGACGGUACCUCAAAAGGAAGCACCGGCUAACUCCGUGCCAGCAGCCGCGGUAAUACGGAGGGUGCAAGCGUUAAUCGGAAUCACUGGGCGUAAAGCGCUCGUAGGCGGUUUGGUCAGUCAGAUGUGAAAGCCCUCGGCUUAACCGGGGAACUGCAUUUGAUACUGCCAGACUUGAGUGUCGGAGAGGGUGGCGGAAUUCCGGGUGUAGGAGUGAAAUCCGUAGAUAUCCGGAGGAACACCAGUGGCGAAGGCGGCCACCUGGACGACAACUGACGCUGAGGAGCGAAAGCGUGGG